rnacentral:rRNA from 1 species
AGGGAAUAUUGCAAAAUGGGCGAAAGCCCGAUGCAGCAACGCCGCGUGGGCGAUGAAGGCCUUCGGGUCGUAAAGCCCUUUUUGAGGGGAUGAGGAAGGACAGUACCCUCAGAAUAAGCCUCGGCUAACUACGUGCCAGCAGCCGCGGUAAAACGUAGGAGGCGAGCGUUAUCCGGAUUUACUGGGCGUAAAGCGCGUGAAGGCGGAUUGGAGAGUUGGAUGUGAAAGCUCCCGGCUUAACUGGGAGAGGUCGUUCAAUACUUCCAGUCUUGAGUGCAGUAGAGNGAAGUGGAAUUCCGGGUGUAGUGGUGAAAUGCGUAGAUAUCCGGAGGAACACCAGUGGCGAAAGCGGCUUCCUGGACUGUAACUGACGCUCAGACGCGAAAGCUAGGGUAGCAAACG